rnacentral:ncRNA from 1 species
UAUGGGGACCUCGGAGAGGUUUUUACACCGAAGAAGCAAUCCAUCUGGAGAAACUUUCAGGUAAAAGGACGAGGGCGCAUCA